rnacentral:RNase_P_RNA from 1 species
GACAAUCGCGUCCAUUCAACGGGCGAGGAAAGUCCGAGCUCCACAGGGCAGUGUGCUGGAUAACGUCCAGCGAGGGUGACCUUAGGGACAGUGCCAUAGAAAUUUAGACCGCCGAUCUAGGAUCGGUAAGGGUGGAAAGGUGCGGUAAGAGCGCACCAGCAGUCGGGUGACCGGCUGGCUUCGGUAAACCCCACAUGGAGCAAGACCAAAUAGGGAAGGGCUAAGGCGGCCCGCCAACCUUCCGGGUAGUGUCGCUAGAGGCGUCCGGCAACGGGCGUCCCAGAUAAAUGAUUGUCGCCGCCCAUCGGGCGGAACAGAACUCGGCUUAUUGGUU